UGGAAAGUAUGUAGCAGGCAGAAGAAAGCGUUUCCAUAUAAGGUAUACAUUCUUGAUCAUGAUCAAUGUUUUGAUUUUUCUUCGUUUUAUUGCUGGUCUUGCCAAUUUCGAUCGGUAUUGGCCACGGGUGGAGGGGCGUGGGACACCUACAAAACGCUAAAACGGUCACGCCCACACUCUUGAUAAAUUUUUUAAUAUUUUCUCAUAUUAUUUAUCUUUAUCCCAGAUAUCCUACAACAUUCUCUCAUGUUUUUAAUAUUCACUCUUUCACCUUCUGCUAUAGUUAUGAUCGGACUACCACAAAAGAUUAAAAUUUUUUCGUGUUGCUUGGUAUAUAACAUUAGGACCUAGAUCGACUGUGAGCAGGGGUACCUCCAGGGGAGUAAAUCUCUCAACAGCUAAAACAAGCUAAAAGGUAUUGGUAUUGGCUUAAAGAGUGUUGACACCAUAAACAACCUGCCAUCAGCUGGAAUGAAGACGUGUGAAACAUAUUGAGUGAAAUCACUAGCGUUAGACAUGCGGAAGCCAUAUCUACUUGGCUAUAUCCACCCAUAAUUAAAACACCACCAAACCUGGGGAAGUAAUGCACAUGAGUUGGCCACACAUCGCGAAACUGCACAUAUCCUG